AGAUGUACAGUGGGUGGGCGCUGCUGAUGUGCCAUUAUUCGUCCAGUCAACACCUCGGUGUCUCCACCUUGAGCAUCGCGCUACAUAAUACAGUCCACUGAAGGGGCAGAGGAGGAGCUGAGGGCAAUCCUUUGGCUGCUGGUCACUCACUUGAAGCCCAGGACCUUUCUGGUGCACAAACAGGCCUUCCACAGUACCAACUGCUGGCUCCUCGCCUGCAUUCACCAGCCCCUGUUCAAGAUGCCCUGGGAUCAGUGAAGCUGUGAGAAGAUGGCCCAGCUUGAAGCUAAGAAGCUGGCAGAGAGCCAUGUUAACAUGGAUAGCCAUGUAAAGAGGGAGGUUCAAAAGAAGAAAAGCUGAAGUCCCAGGCUGGGGGGGAAAGGGCCACCUUCCCAGCUCCCGAGAAGAUGGGCAACUGUUAGCAGGCACAGGCUGCUGAGCCCGAGGCCUCCUUCACGCUCCUGCCCAAGUGAACUUUGUGUUGGUGAGUUUAAGUGCAAGCACUCCCAUGAAGUCACCCUCUCUAUGGCACUGCCAUCUUUGAUAAGGACGACUGGUCCCCGUGGUAGCUCACUACUGCCCUUCUGAAGCAUUUUCUGGGCCUUCACGAGUUGCAGCUUUGUCACUGGAGGGCCCGAGCAAUUGGAGAAGCUGGGAAGAAUGCCUUUGCCAGGGUUUUCCUCUCGGCCACCACCUCUAGCAGCUCCACUUCUGGGGUGUGAGUCUUCCAAGGGUGAGAGGUUGCCUUUCUGCUGAGUAUGGGUUGGCGUGUGGGCUAUGAUCAUAUACAGAACAAAAAGUGGAGCCUGGUCCUUUUCCCAGAAUGUGGGCAAAGCCUUCAAUCAAGGCAAGAUCUUAAGUGAGUAUCUCUGGCAGGUGCACAGCUCACCCUUCAGAGAGACAGGGGCCUUUGAAAGGAAACAGAUUAUUGACAAAACACAUACACAUUUGUGUGUGCAAGUGCAUACAUAAUUUAAAUGAAGUUAUGCCACUUGGCAUGAUAAUGAUCCUCCCAAGAGCCAUAGAUUAAAGAAAUCCUGGUGCCAGGGAAAUCUUCCUUUGUGGCGUUGGUUAGAAGAGUCCAAGAGAAAUCCAAACAGAAUGGGCUAUUGCUGCUGCCCUUUGUUGCCUCCCAGAACAUGAAGGUAAGACCCUGUACUUAUAUACAUAUACAUUUGUAACAAUAAGGAGAUCAUGGUGUGGGAGAAGGCGAGGUGCAAGAGGGGGAGGCGCAUGAGCGAUGGAGAUGCAGGUCCUGUGUAUGAAGUUCUCAAAAUUAUAUAUAAUUAUUAAAUUAGGAAAAAAAACCCAAAUCGAAGGUUGGUAGUGAUACCGAGGCAGCACAGAAAGUGCACUAUGAGGACUAGUUCAACAAGUGAUUGAAAGUAUUCUCCAAGAUUACAGGAGAAAUUAUGAAUAAUUGGGGGAAGUUGUUACAGCUGAGAAAGAAGUCGUGACACUCUAGACACAGACGCAGGCUCCUUGAUCUGUUUGUUUCAGACCAUCAGUCUUGUUGGCCCCUUGGGCUCAGCAGGUGAUCCCUAGUGAGCAGUAAACAUUUAUUGGCUGAGUAACACUGAUGGUCCUUUCUACUCAGGGAGGAACAGAAGCUGGGAGCAAACCCCAAAUCUGACUUUCAGAAAUGAGUCCUCCAGGGGACAGAAGGCAGUGGGUAGGGGAGGUGCACCCUAGCUGGCAAUCCUGGGAAAGAAAACACAGAGCAUGCAAAAACCCCUUGCUCCUUCCUUAACCUUGCCAGGGCAGGAGUUCCGCACCUGCCUUAGAGGCGCGCUUCCUCGCUGCAAAGAGGUCACAUGAUUCCAGCACGCCCGGUCAGGAGGGUCCUGGUUGGCUAGCCUGUCUUAUUGGCUUAGUUCUGGACAUGUGACCAAUCAGGUCCACAGAUGAGUACUUAACAGUUGGUGCGAGGUGGUUGAGACAGUUGGUGGCGGUUUGUUAGGGACUACAGAAACGGUUCGCCAAGGCGGUGUGUGACGCCAUGAUUUCCAGAGACGUGCUCCCGGUCUACUCGACACCCGGGUACAGUUUGCUCUGCUGCUGUCUUCAGUCAGUAAUCUUCCUUUCAUGGGGCCCUCACCUUGCUGUCUCUGCAUGUCCGAACCGCUUUGGUUUGGGUUUCAGGACCCAAGGCAAUAGCAGCUUUACAGAGGUGCAGACUGAGAAACAUGACCCUGACGACAGGAUUAAAGUCAGCACUCUUAGGUGCUGGACCACCCAGACAUCAUCAGGCUGUUCUGCAUCAUACUGCUGGGGAGAUGUGUGGUAAAAGAGAAAGGGCCCGUCUCUGUGGUUGUUGAAACGGCGAGGAGCAGAGAUCAGCCUAGCAUGGCUGGCUCCCAGGGGAAGGAGCCAGGCCAGAGCACCA